rnacentral:rRNA from 1 species
AGCUGCAGAAUAAGCACCGGCUAACUCUGUGCCAGCAGCCGCGGUAAUACAGAGGGUGCAAGCGUUAAUCGGAAUUACUGGGCGUAAAGCGAGCGUAGGUGGCUUGAUAAGUCAGAUGUGAAAUCCCCGGGCUUAACCUGGGAACUGCAUCUGAAACUGUUAGGCUAGAGUAGGUGAGAGGGAAGUAGAAUUUCAGGUGUAGCGGUGAAAUGCGUAGAGAUCUGAAGGAAUACCGAUGGCGAAGGCAGCUUCCUGGCAUCAUACUGACACUGAGGCUCGAAAGCGUGGGUAGCAAACAGGAUUAGAUACCCUGGUAGUCCACGCCGUAAACGAUGUCUACUAGUCGUUGGGUCCCUUGAGGACUUAGUGACGCAGCUAACGCAAUAAGUAGACCGCCUGGGGAGUACGGCCGCAAGGUUAAAACUCAAAUGAAUUGACGGGGGCCCGCACAAGCGGUGGAGCAUGUGGUUUAAUUCGAUGCAACGCGAAGAACCUUACCUGGUCUUGACAUAUCUAGAAUCCUGCAGAGAUGCGGGAGUGCCUUCGGGAAUUAGAAUACAGGUGCUGCAUGGCUGUCGUCAGCUCGUGUCGUGAGAUGUUGGGUUAAGUCCCGCAACGAGCGCAACCCUUGUCCUUAGUUACCAGCGGGUUAAGCCGGGAACUCUAAGGAUACUGCCAGUGACAAACUGGAGGAAGGCGGGGACGACGUCAAGUCAUCAUGGCCCUUACGACCAGGGCUACACACGUGCUACAAUGGUAGGUACAGAGGGCAGCUACACAGCGAUGUGAUGCGAAUCUCAAAAAGCCUAUCGUAGUCCAGAUUGGAGUCUGCAACUCGACUCCAUGAAGUAGGAAUCGCUAGUAAUCGCGGAUCAGAAUGCCGCGGUGAAUACGUUCCCGGGCCUUGUACACACCGCCCGUCACACCAUGGGAGUUGAUUGCACCAGAAGUGGAUAGCUUAACCUUCGGGGAG